rnacentral:misc_RNA from 1 species
GAAAUGCGAUAAGUAAUGUGAAUUGCAGAAUUCAGUGAAUCAUCGAAUCUUUGAACGCACAUUGCGCCCGGCAGCAAUCUGCCGGGCAUGCCUGUCCGAGCGUCAUUUCUGCCCUCGAGCGCGGUUCGGCCCCUAGCGGGCCGGCCGCCGCCCGGUGUUGGGGCGCUGCGGGCCCUCGUGCCCGCAGGCCCUGGAAUGAAGUGGCGGUCCCGCCGCGGCGCCCCCUGCGUAGUAGUAAAGCACCUCGCAUCGGGUCCCGGCGGAGGCCAGCCGUCGAACCUCUCUUUUGAUGGUUUGACCUCGGAUCAGGUAGGGUUACCCGCUGAACUUAAGC